rnacentral:rRNA from 1 species
CUACCCAUGAGCAGGAUGAAGCGAAAGUAAAAUUUCGUGGAGGUCCGAACCCACGAGCGUUGAAAAGCUCGGGGAUGACUUGUGGGUAGCGGUGAAAUUCCAAUCGAGCCCGGAGAUAGCUGGUUCUCCCCGAAAUAGCUUUAGGGCUAGCCUCAAGGUGAGAGAUACGGAGGUAGAGCACUGAAUGUCCUAGGGGGUAUUGCACCUACCGAAGACUAUCAAACUCCGAAUGCCGUCAUCUUAUACUUGGGAGUCAGACUGUGGGUGAUAAGAUUCAUAGUCGAAAGGGCAACAGCCCAGAUCGUCAGCUAAGGUCCCUAAAUGUAAGUUAAGUGGUAAAGGAUGUGGGAUUGCACAGACAACCAGGAUGUUGGCUUAGAAGCAGCCACUCAUUCAAAGAGUGCGUAAUAGCUCACUGGUCGAGUGAUCCUGCGCCGAAGAUUUCCGGGGCUAAAACUUACUACCGAAGCUACGGCAUCAGUAAGGAUGGGUAGGGGAGCUUCCCAUACGGGUUGAAGCAUGACCGUAAGGACAUGUGGACAGUAGGGGAGUGAGAAUGUUGGCAUGAGUAGCGAGAUGUGGGUGAGAAUCCCACAGGCCGUAAACCCAAGGUUUCCAGGGGAAGGUUCGUCCGCCCUGGGUUAGUCGGGACCUAAGCUGAGGCCGAAAGGCGUAGGUGAU